GGUUAAGCGACUAAGCGUACACGGUGGAUGCCCUGGCAGUCAGAGGCGAUGAAGGACGUGCUAAUCUGCGAAAAGCGUCGGUAAGGUGAUAUGAACCGUUAUAACCGGCGAUGUCCGAAUGGGGAAACCCAGUGCAAUUCGUUGCACUAUCGUUAACUGAAUACAUAGGUUAACGAGGCGAACCGGGGGAACUGAAACAUCUAAGUACCCCGAGGAAAAGAAAUCAACCGAGAUUCCCCCAGUAGCGGCGAGCGAACGGGGAGCAGCCCAGAGUCUGAAUCAGCUUGUGUGUUAGUGGAACGGUCUGGAAAGUCCGACGGUACAGGGUGAUAGUCCCGUACACCAAAAUGCACAGGCUGUGAACUCGAAGAGUAGGGCGGGACACGUGGUAUCCUGUCUGAAUAUGGGGGGACCAUCCUCCAAGGCUAAAUACUCCUGACUGACCGAUAGUGAACCAGUACCGUGAGGGAAAGGCGAAAAGAACCCCGGCGAGGGGAGUGAAAAAGAACCUGAAACCGUGUACGUACAAGCAGUGGGAGCACCUUCGGGUGUGACUGCGUACCUUUUGUAUAAUGGGUCAGCGACUUAUAUUCUGUAGCAAGGUUAACCGUAUAGGGGAGCCGCAGGGAAACCGAGUCUUAACUGGGCGUUAAGUUGCAGGGUAUAGACCCGAAACCCGGUGAUCUAGCCAUGGGCAGGUUGAAGGUUGGGUAACACUAACUGGAGGACCGAACCGACUAAUGUUGAAAAAUUAGCGGAUGACUUGUGGCUGGGGGUGAAAGGCCAAUCAAACCGGGAGAUAGCUGGUUCUCCCCGAAAGCUAUUUAGGUAGCGCCUCGUGAACUCAUCUUCGGGGGUAGAGCACUGUUUCGGCUAGGGGGUCAUCCCGACUUACCAACCCGAUGCAAACUACGAAUACCGAAGAAUGUUAUCACGGGAGACACACGGCGGGUGCUAACGUCCGUCGUGAAGAGGGAAACAACCCAGACCGCCAGCUAAGGUCCCAAAGUCAUGGUUAAGUGGGAAACGAUGUGGGAAGGCACAGACAGCCAGGAUGUUGGCUUAGAAGCAGCCAUCAUUUAAAGAAAGCGUAAUAGCUCACUGGUCGAGUCGGCCUGCGCGGAAGAUGUAACGGGGCUAAACCAUGCACCGAAGCUGCGGCAGCGACACUAUGUGUUGUUGGGUAGGGGAGCGUUCUGUAAGCCUGCGAAGGUGUGCUGUGAGGCAUGCUGGAGGUAUCAGAAGUGCGAAUGCUGACAUAAGUAACGAUAAAGCGGGUGAAAAGCCCGCUCGCCGGAAGACCAAGGGUUCCUGUCCAACGUUAAUCGGGGCAGGGUGAGUCGACCCCUAAGGCGAGGCCGAAAGGCGUAGUCGAUGGGAAACAGGUUAAUAUUCCUGUACUUGGUGUUACUGCGAAGGGGGGACGGAGAAGGCUAUGUUAGCCGGGCGACGGUUGUCCCGGUUUAAGCAUGUAGGCUGGUUAUCCAGGCAAAUCCGGAUAAUCAAGGCUGAGGUGUGAUGACGAGGCACUACGGUGCUGAAGUAACAAAUGCCCUGCUUCCAGGAAAAGCCUCUAAGCAUCAGGUAACAUCAAAUCGUACCCCAAACCGACACAGGUGGUCAGGUAGAGAAUACCAAGGCGCUUGAGAGAACUCGGGUGAAGGAACUAGGCAAAAUGGUGCCGUAACUUCGGGAGAAGGCACGCUGGUGUGUAGGUGAAGUCCCUGCGGAUGGAGCUGAGACCAGUCGAAGAUACCAGCUGGCUGCAACUGUUUAUUAAAAACACAGCACUGUGCAAACACGAAAGUGGACGUAUACGGUGUGACGCCUGCCCGGUGCCGGAAGGUUAAUUGAUGGGGUUAUCCGUAAGGAGAAGCUCUUGAUCGAAGCCCCGGUAAACGGCGGCCGUAACUAUAACGGUCCUAAGGUAGCGAAAUUCCUUGUCGGGUAAGUUCCGACCUGCACGAAUGGCGUAAUGAUGGCCAGGCUGUCUCCACCCGAGACUCAGUGAAAUUGAACUCGCUGUGAAGAUGCAGUGUACCCGCGGCAAGACGGAAAGACCCCGUGAACCUUUACUAUAGCUUGACACUGAACAUUGAGCCUUGAUGUGUAGGAUAGGUGGGAGGCUUUGAAGCGUGGACGCCAGUCUGCGUGGAGCCAACCUUGAAAUACCACCCUUUAAUGUUUGAUGUUCUAACGUUGGCCCCUGACCGGGGUUGCGGACAGUGUCUGGUGGGUAGUUUGACUGGGGCGGUCUCCUCCCAAAGCGUAACGGAGGAGCACGAAGGUUAGCUAAUCCUGGUCGGACAUCAGGAGGUUAGUGCAAUGGCAUAAGCUAGCUUGACUGCGAGCGUGACGGCGCGAGCAGGUGCGAAAGCAGGUCAUAGUGAUCCGGUGGUUCUGAAUGGAAGGGCCAUCGCUCAACGGAUAAAAGGUACUCCGGGGAUAACAGGCUGAUACCGCCCAAGAGUUCAUAUCGACGGCGGUGUUUGGCACCUCGAUGUCGGCUCAUCACAUCCUGGGGCUGAAGUAGGUCCCAAGGGUAUGGCUGUUCGCCAUUUAAAGUGGUACGCGAGCUGGGUUUAGAACGUCGUGAGACAGUUCGGUCCCUAUCUGCCGUGGGCGCUGGAGAAUUGAGGGGGGCUGCUCCUAGUACGAGAGGACCGGAGUGGACGCAUCACUGGUGUUCGGGUUGUCAUGCCAAUGGCACUGCCCGGUAGCUAAAUGCGGAAGAGAUAAGUGCUGAAAGCAUCUAAGCACGAAACUUGCCCCGAGAUGAGUUCUCCCUGAGACUUUAAGUCUCCUGAAGGAACGUUGAAGACGACGACGUUGAUAGGCCGGGUGUGUAAGCGCAGCGAUGCGUUGAGCUAACCGGUACUAAUGAACCGUGAGGCUUAACCUU
rnacentral:rRNA from 3 species